AGUGAACGCUGGCGGCAGGCCUAACACAUGCAAGUCGAGCGGCAGCGGGUCCUUCGGGAUGCCGGCGAGCGGCGGACGGGUGAGGAAUGCGUCGGAAUCUGCCUUUUUGUGGGGGAUAACGUAGGGAAACUUACGCUAAUACCGCAUACGACCUACGGGUGAAAGUGGGGGACCGCAAGGCCUCACGCAGAAAGAUGAGCCGACGCCGGAUUAGCUAGUUGGCGGGGUAAAGGCCCACCAAGGCGACGAUCCUUAGCUGGGCUGAGAGGAUGAUAAGCCGCACUGUAACUGAGACACGGUCCCGACUCCUACGGGAGGCAGCAGUGGGGAAUAUUGGACAAUGGGCGCAAGCCUGAUUCAGCCAUGCCGCGUGUGUGAAGAAGGCCUUCGGGUUGUAAAGCACUUUUGUCCGGAAAGAAAUCCAAUCGAUUAAUACUCGGUUGGGAUGACGGUACCGGAAGAAUAAGCACCGGCUAACUUCGUGCCAGCCGCCGCGGUAACAC
rnacentral:rRNA from 1 species